rnacentral:lncRNA from 1 species
UGGAGUACAAGACAAGCGAAAAUACUUCCUACUUUAUUCUAUAUUUUCAAUACAAUCACAUACUCAAAAGCUAUCCAUAAUAUAGAAAAGCAUCACCUGUCUAAGAAACAAAGCGGCUCAGCGCGGGGCGGGGCGCGGGGGUGCUUGCCGACCCCGAUGCUAUCCAGCAACUGGUAACUGACCACCCCGAAAACGUCUGUAGCCGUGUAGCGUGGGAACGAAGAGAGAGAAGAAAGAUUAGUGAGGAGAGAGGGAGAGAACGGAGGAGGGAAUUGGGUGCAGCUGACCGGCAUAGGAGGUCGUCGGCGGCUUGCAGGACCGCGGGCAGCGACCGGAGGCGGGGUCGACUUGGGGCGGAUCAGUGGGAAGCGCACGGGGGGAGCGCUGAAGGUUUCUCGAUCUGGGGAGUUGCAGCCGAAGACACCGGGAUUGGGGGCGCGAAGCGCUCGCACGAUUGGCACAUGACAGCUUCUCCUCCGCACAACAUUGCAUCUGAAUGACACAUCAUUGGCCCUGUUUGGAUACACUAGCCUGGUUAGAGGUUUGAGUUAGUUUCUAACUCUGGACUAACUCUGAACUAGUUCUAGCCUUUGGUGGUGUUUGGAUGAUAGAGUUAGUUUGACAACAAAUAUACUUUUUUAAUCAUUUGACUCUUUUAACCAGGAUUUGUUGUGG